rnacentral:rRNA from 1 species
AGGACGAACGCUGGCGGCGUGCUUAACACAUGCAAGUCGAGCGGUAAGGCCUUUCGGGGUACACGAGCGGCGAACGGGUGAGUAACACGUGGGUGAUCUGCCCUGCACUCUGGGAUAAGCCUGGGAAACUGGGUCUAAUACCGGAUAUGACCUGCUCUCGCAUGGGGGGUGGGUGGAAAGAUUUAUCGGUGCAGGAUGGGCCCGCGGCCUAUCAGCUUGGUUGGUGGGGUAAUGGCCUACCAAGGCGACGACGGGUAGCCGACCUGAGAGGGUGACCGGCCACACUGGGACUGAGACACGGCCCAGAUUCCUACGGGAGGCAGCAGUGGGAAUAUUGCACAAUGGGCGAAAGCCUGAUGACAGCGACGCCGCGUGAGGAUGAAGGCCGUUCGGGUUGUAAACCUCUUUCGAGCGAAGGACGAAGCGACGAAGUCGGAACGGUACCUAGACCGAAGGAAA